AUACUAAAGUUGAAAGGAUAUAGAAAAGAUUAGUACGCUCCCUGCACAAGGAUGCCAUGUAACUUUGUGAAGAGCUACAUAUUUCU
rnacentral:snRNA from 1 species